UACACUCAGAAAGCAACGCAUAUCAUUAGGGUGUGUCUAUAAAUAGACCCCAAUGUGUGUGCAUUGAGACUUAGUCCCUGGUCGGGGGUUUUCGAACGUGGGUGAUGAAUUCUGUGUUCUGAUCAGUUACUCAGGAGGCGCCCGAAUGUGAGGGGGUGGGAGUGUGGGAGGGGGCUGCCUCCUCUCUUCUCUUUCCCUCUGGCUGCUCUCCUCCCCUCUCCUCCCUCCUUCUCUCUCCCCCCUCCCUUCUUCCCUCCCCUCCCUUUUUCAGCAUCUCCCCUACCCUUUCUUUCUCUUCUCUCCCUCUCUCCCCUCCCUCUCUCCCCCUCCCGCUCUCUUCUCCCUCUCCCUACAAGUCUGGCACUGAAGGAGAACUGUUUUGCUUUGCUCCGGGAAGAGUGCAGACACGACGUGAAAUCCGGAGCUCUUUGCGUGGUGCAUUUAAAAUGCUUCCUUAUUUAUAUUACCCUCAUCCCCUCCCCUCUCCCACCCCCUCACCAGCCCUUCCAAAUUUCCCUAGAAAUCUGUGUAAAGCGUGGAGGGGAAAACAUUUGCAUAAAAAGUGAAGGAGCACGCCAAGGAGCACCAAAGACCAAGAGGAGACCAGAUGAGUUUUCAGAGCAGUUCUCAGACACCCAGGACGCAUGUCAUCCUUUGCCUCGUGCUUUCUGCAAUGUUGCUGCUCACCUUCAUCUUUCUAUUAACCCUCGCCAUAACAAUCCCCUCCUGACACCACCACCUCUUCUCCAUUAAUCACCCACUCAGCUCUCUCUGAGGUGUCUCUCCCAUGGGGCAUGGCUUUGUCUCUGGCAGGCUCCCCUUGAAUCAUAUCCAGAUGGCUACCAUUUACUUCCUUUUCCUCUGUCUCCUCUUCACACCAGACUCAGUUAACACUCAGUCCCUUGAUCAGGAAAACCGGAGAAAAAGUUCCCUUUUCUAAAAAGGAAGUCAGAGCGUGCUCUGCUGGAGCCACCAUGCUCAGGGAAGAGACCCAAAAUACAGCUGAGUGUGAUGUCAUUGAAACCAGAUGGAAAGACCAGAAAUCCCUUAAUCCCAGUCAGACCUAGUGAAGCUUUACUUGUGACUGUUGGGACUGAUUAAGAAUAUGGGGGCAGGGAGGAAGAGAGGGAGAAAGAUGUUCUGAAUUGGAUUGCCCUUCAAUACAGAAUGGAAUCCCCUAGUUUUUUUGUCCUCCAAUUAAAUGUGCAUUUCAUUCUACCACAUUGUGAUGGCUUCACUGUAGAUGUUUCCUCUGGAGACCCAAGGCUUUUUUUCUUCAUGGGUCACAAGACCACAAGCCACCAGAUGAUGAGGUAAGUGACAGUGUCUGGGGUCCUUUGUAAUGACCUCAGAAAUCCAGUGCUGAUGAAAACCCACCUUAGGAGACAGCAAGGUUUGUCCCCUGUUCAGUCCCUCUUGACUUGAGCCCUUGCAGGGAACCCCAGAACAGCGAGGAAUUUUAGUGGGGCUCCACACCACUCUGGGAAGCAAAGCUGAUGCUGAAGAUUGGUUACAUCAGAAGUUGGGAAUGUCAUUGAAUCUCUCUCUCUCUCUCUCUCUCUCUCUCUCUCUCUCUCUCUCUCUCUCUUAAAAAAAUCAGACAGGCCUUACUGGCACAUUCCUAUAAGCCCAACUACAUGGGAAACUGAGGCACAAAGAUUGUCAUUUCAAGACCUACCUGGGCAACAGAAUGAGUUUAGGGCCAGCCCAGGUGACUUAGUAAGACAUAUCUCAGAAUAAAAUAAAAAAAAAGCUGAGCCUACAGCUCAGUGGUGAAGAACUUGUGUAGUAUGUGUGAGACCCUGGGUUCUCUCCUCAAUACUCAGACAAAACAUAAAUGUAGUCCCUCCUUUUUUUCCAUAUUUAGGAAUAACAUAGAAUUAUUACCAAGUACUAUCAAUGAGAUACUAGGGGUUUUUAUAUGUAAGCCGAGUCUCCCUUCUUAACAACAUAAUUCAAAAUGAAUUCAUUAAUCAAUAGAUACCUUUAAAAAAUCAAUAGAUACUUGCCAAGAAGUGCAAACAUGAGUCAGGUAUGUUAGCCAGUGCUUCCUCUGUGUUUCACAGCAUAGAUCUAUGGGAUGAGAACUACAGAAGCACAAGCCACAUUCCCUAUUAUUGGCCUAUCAGACUUAAGCUACUAGAUCAACAGACAAUGGCAAUGAUGACUUAUGGGUAGAGUGUUCUGCUAAUUUUGAUCCACUAAAGCCUCAUUAGUUCGUGAUAGUACUGACUCUGCCUCCUGAGUUCUGGGAGAUAGAUCACUGUCCAUCACAAGCUAAACCCCCCACAAUUGUCUCUAAGCAUCCCUUGGGUCAUUCUUUUCUUCCUGUGGUCUGUGCCUCUGAAGCUCUUGCUACUUGGCCUCUAUAGUGUGCUGGCUUCCUGAGCGCCACCCCCCACCCCAGCUUCUGCUCCCUAUCUUUAUGCUUGCUCUGGCUUCAUCUCUGCUUAGAUCCUCAGAUGCUCACCAUGAAACCUACUGUAGAUAUUCCUGGAUCCCCCUCUGCUCCUCAUUUUGCAAUGUGUGCCUUCAGUGACAAGUUUUGGGAAACCCUAUCUGGUUCUCAGGGAGCCUUGUAGUCAGAAUUAGCUAGGGUGGGGAGGAGCUUGCUUCUAGACAGUGGAGGUAUGUGCAGAUACUGUCUUAACUUUUCUGGGUUGAAUGAUGCUAAAUACUUUAUGUGACUAGAAAACUGAGAGAAUAUUACUAUUGGUAACAAAAAAAAAAAAAAGGGCAGGUCAGGAGGCAGGGAAUUGCAGUCAUUUUCCCCCAGCAUCCAAGUAAGUGAUCCUUAGACCAUUCACCCUCAAACCUUCAAAUGCAUUGGCUUCUGAGAAAUGUCUCCCAUGGCUUGAAUAUACCUUUUGACCAGGUUAAGUGAUGAAAACACGUAUUUAAAUAAGGGAAGAAGAUGGUGAAAUAGCAUUUAUUAUGUAUGCUAUGGCUUAUCCCCUCUGCCCCAUACUGGGCUAAUAGCUCAGUCUCUACCUUCUUUGGAAUCAGAAAAAAUAAUCAGGGAGGCCAGUUUCUAAAGGAGAAAAAGGGAGCUGGGAUGACUAGUCAACUAAGGGUCUCAUCCAAGACGGCUCUCUUAGAAGACGUUUCCCACCUUCCCCAGGUACCACCCAAGUGGCUUGUUUCUUUCAGUGUAGAGACAUAAAUGCAGGAGUCUGGAUGGGAUGGGAAAUUAAAUAGGUCUCCAUCUACUUUGUUUUAGACAACCCUUGGAGUCUGGGCUGAAUUUUCAAUAAGAAAAUUGAUAACUAAUGAUUUGGGAAUGAUCUGUUUACUCCAUGAUCCUAUAAGGAAGGUGUCAAUAUUAUAACACGCAUAGUGUUUCUGUAAGGAUUAAAUACCAUCAUUUCUGUUUAAGCACCCAUUACAGUGUCUGGUGUAUAGUUGGUACUUAAAGCUAUCAUCUUUCCCUGGGUUUUCUGAGACCUGCAUUUUUCUCUCUUGUUCCAUAUACAGUAUUUUACCUACUGGUGUUUCCCUUGGUGUUUGAAAAGGAGAGAAGAGACCCAGACAGGGUAUUUUCUGGCUUCACUGAUCCUGAAAGAGAGGAAAGUCGGUUCUUCUCAAGGGCUACCUAACAGACAGUUACUCUUGCAUGUUUUCUGAGAGGAGCAUCGGGGGAAUGGAGCCCGAGUCAUGCUGAUGAUCCCAGAGAUGGGUUGAAAAUGCAGAGCGUGGUUUUCAUCUUGGACAGGUUCCAUGUCAGUCUAUUAAUUCCCUGAGUCCUUAGUUUGACUGCUUUGAUGGGAAUUGGGCACCAGAGCCCUUAACAAGGAAUGAUGAGACAUCGGGGAAAGGCAAGGUCACCCAUCCAACUCAGGCAUGCACCAGAGAACCUGACUGAAGGAAAGAGAACAUGGAGAAGCGGGGGUUGUAGAGGGCUGACUCUCUGCAAUGGUGUGUGCUGUUGUUUCCUGCUCAGGCAAUCUAACCAGUCAGUCUUGUGACUGCAGCACGUGAUAACAAGGCAGAGAGUCACUCUCUUCUGGGAGAGAAAGCAGAGCCCCUGACCCCACCAGGUGACCCCAGUUAGGUUCUGCUUUUCUGCUGCUAUCCCCAAAGUUGUAAUGGGCCUGGCCUAAGAACAUUUCAGCCAUCCUCAACCUGGUAUUAUUCAGGAUUUCCUUAGAAAUACUGGGAAUCAUGAGUUUUCUGUGGUUUCAAAUCAAGCAUGGUAGCAUACCACCACCAAACAGAGAAUAGAGAACACAAUACUAUUCUAAAUUGUAUCUUUGCUAUAAAGUGUGUGCCAUCUAUGUAGAAACCUUACAUUUUCUGUGAAUGAGCCUAAUCUUUGCUUAUAUCUUGUGUCUAAAAACACAUCUAUCUGCCCUUAGAGAUACACGUAGCCAGACAUUUUUAUUAAUCCAAGAAUCCUUCAUUGAAAUACUGCCUGCCAUUUCGUGUCUGCUUGGUCACAUCUGAUAACCCCAUGUGAUAAGCCAUCCCCAGUACAAGAACCAGGGCCACUGCUGUCCCUUCUCUCAUUGAUGCUUCUUCUGGCUGCACACCAGUCCACUGCAGCAACAUUCUCACAUGCAUACAUACAUGCAUGCAUUCAGAGAGCUAAAAAUAAACAGCUGCUGAUGGGCUGCCGGAGGGUGUCCUCCGAGUGGAGCAGAUGUCCUCUGUCCCUCUCAAGCAGGCAAGCUUAAGCCACAGACAAAAAACGGAAGGUACUUCAGGAGUCUAAACUUAAACAGAAACCUUGGAAUACAGCUUACAAAGGUUCUGAGGGCCUGGGGAGGGUAUAAUAGCCUGAGUCUCAUGACCCUUCUUUUCCAGACCAUGUAGCCCAAAUCCUCUUGGUGACCUCUGGAUAAUUGUUUAUCAGCAUCCAACACAAGCGCAGUAAAGGAAAUCUGAUAGUUAGGGUUAUGAAAGGAAAUGGUUCGUGCCCGAAAUAUCUGUGUGUAGCCUCUGACUUCCUAAUUUUUCCCAUUCUGAAGCAAAGAUCAUUCCAGAGAGAUCCAGUGCUGUGUGCACCUGAGGAGGGGAAUCUGUGUGUCAUUUGUGCAGAUCUUCCCAUUUGUAAGAAUUCCUUCCAUCUCCAUCGAUCAAGAAACCCUUUGUUAUGCUGAGGUGUGGCAUAUCUUCUGAAACCACCCCAUUCAGGCACACACUCUGAUACACAGAUUAUCAUGAAACAAGGGCUAUUCCGACUGGUUUGAAAAUAAUGCCCAUCAUUGAGCUCAUUUUUGUGGGUCAUUCUUUUAAGAAGAAAAAAAACCUGCUGGUAUUUAAGAGUAAAGGUUCUGGCUUUAAAUAGGCCUGAUAAUGUAGCUAGAGACAGCACCUGCAGCCUUUGUUGAAUUUCUUCUGCCUCAUAUGGAGGGAAAGUUGCAUAUUCACCAAUAGCCUGCUAUUUGUAGGGGUGGAUUCCCUCUUUAGAAGCAAGGAGGAAAAGUGCAAAAGCAAGCUCGGGUCCUCCCCUCUAGGCAUUCCCAUCACCAGCAUCCCAAAGAGCUGCUGGUCAUUGGUGAAAGUGUGUGCCGGUGUGUGUGUGUGUGUGUGUGUGUGUGUGUGUGUGUGUGUGUGUGUGUGUGUGUUUUGCGCACGAGAGGUCAAUUUCAGGCUUAUCUGUCCCUGUACUGUGUCUGCCUGACUCUCUGUAACUCAGAUCCUUGCUCUCUGGGAAGCAGUAGCUAGAUGAUUCCGUGGGAGACCAAGCAGGAUGCGUGGGCGCAGGAAAAAGAAGAGGAGAAAGAAAGGGGAGGGGGAAGGGAUCUCGAGAGCUGGAGAGAGGCGGGGGAGCCGUGAAUCUGUUAUUUGCGUCACUCGAAGAGCCGGGGCUAUCUGGCCAACAAACUGAGAAUUAAUCCGAGUUAUAGCCGUAGCCUGCUCGGUUACUGUGGCCAGAUGCGAAAGGGCGGGGAAGGCACACACUCAGGAGUCUGUGCACCGAGUUUGCAAUGAGCUGUUGGGUGUUUGGGGAGGGGGUAGUCCAGAUCGGCACGCCCCUCGGGGGCCCUCAGCACGGUCUGUGCCUCUUUUGCUGAUGGCCAGCCCAAGCCUGGGGUGGCGCCCACCUCGGCUGCCUCGCCUGCUCAGUGGCUGCGCUGAACACAAAGCACUGUCUCUGAGCAGAAGCCUCUUCUAGAUUGAACCAGACCCACCAAAGAGGAGAAUCUGCACGUGACGUCAGCAGCUGAUGACUGACGCAGGCAGGCAAAGGAGACUCGAGGCGGCUGCUCCGCGCUGUCUUCAUGAGUCUAUUUUCUCCAUCCUCCUCAUAGUGAAAUACUAGAACGCAACACACACACACACACACACACACACACACACACACGUGCAGCUUUUAAAAUUUACAUUCCCAAAGGCGGUGUGUUGCAAACACCAAGAGAUUUUGCAAAGCGAGUAUGGAGAAUGUGGGAAGGGAGUUCCCGCUUGGGUAAGUAAUAUUAUGUCAUGUGCAUGCCGCAGACUGUAAGUACAAGCCGAUGCUUACUUUGUGCAUGCUCAGGAUGCAUCCUUGGCUGCCUUUUUGCCCUUUGCUAAGUGGGAGAAUGAGACUGAGGGGGGUGGGGGAGGGUGUAACUCUGUGUGUGUGUGGAUGUGUGUAUAUAAUGAAUUGGGGGCUGCAUGCAAAGGAACCGAGAAGGAAUUCUUGCAGAGUUGGGAAUCACCCUGACAAAUUUGAAUCAAUAGCAGCUGCAACGCACUCCCUCGUUAUGAGUCGGCGCUGUUGAGCUGGGUUCUCUCUACUGCCCUCUCCCCUCCGUAUUUUCUCUGUCUUAAAGGGUGGCCCGACACAAUUUAAUGGCCCAUUUCAAUGCGAGAUUAAUGGAGACUGUGGAAUGUAAACCAGAAUUGCAUGGGAUAAAGGGAAUAAAAAGAGAGGGUGUGAUCAUCGGCACCUAGACAGUGGUCCUGACUGAUCCAGCCCUUGGUAGCUGUCCACGGAUAUAGGUGCUGAAAAUUCCUUGGUCCGCAGCAAGUUCAGUUCUGAGCGCCAGGGGGCAGGAUUGGCUCCAGCAGAAGCUAGCCCCGCCCUGGAUGCAAAACAAGAUCCGGAAUGGAGGGGGUUAAGGAUGUUCAAAGGGGAUAGUCGUGACUUCGGUGAGAGCUUUGGGAAAAGGAGGGGUGAGUGGGAAGGGAAGGGAAAAAAAAUUAAAGGAGAGGGAGCAAAGUGUUAGAUUCAAGGAUGAGCUAAGGCCGUGCGCUCCAGGAACCCAAGACCAAAGUCGGAGGCUCACCAUCUUCUCCUGCAGAGGCUGGCAACUGUCUGGGUCUCCAGCCUCAGGCUCCACCACCUUCCCGCCAGUGGAUUUGAAAUAUUUCUCCCUGAUGAUGAUUCUCAAAAUAAGAGGCUAUAGGUUGCUUUAUUUCGACCCUGAUCCCCUCCCACUUCGUGCCCUCUCACACACCCACAUUCUGCAAUUCCUGGGAGGGGUUUAAGGGCAUAUGUUAUGUCACUUACUAUUCCCACGUCCUUUGCAUCCUAGUUACAGAAUCUCUAAAUCACUUACUGGAAUGGGAGUAUCACAAGCCAAAGGACCGGAGUUCCUGGUGCUAUCUAUGCAGAGACUCCAGGCUUUCCUCUAAGGCAAUGUUACAAACCACUAUCAGGAGGAAAUAGGGAGGAUUGUUCUCAAGGUUGACAAAUGUUAAUGGGAAGACCACCAGCUCCCUAUGGGUGAGUUGUGAAUGAGAUUCAUUGCAAUCAGCUUCAGAUACUUGGGCAAAACCUUAGCCAGACAGGUGAGAAAAGAGAAUGUCAUGGUGCGGGGGGGGGGGGCAGGUAACACACACAGAAACAUUCAUACUGAUUAACGCCUCGGAGCAGGGUAAUAGUGCAUCUUUAAACUGACCCACAAGAGUACACGAUGGGGAAAACAAAGCACUCUUGCAGUCUGUAAUAAGGUUACGUGCACACAGGAACAUCGAGAUCUUUGAGGAGGGGGGCACAGGAUAGCGAGAGGAGACUAGCUAGCUCUUCUAUCUACCUGGAAGCGGCCCGCCUUGAGUGAGGGACCUGCACAGGGCAACCGGAUUGCAGUCCCUGGAGGGAAAAGAGGGUGGUGAGUCGAGUUAAUUUUAGCUCAGAAGCGGUCCCUUCCUGGGCAGAUUUCCUCGCUGAGGCUGAGGCUGAGGCUGAGACUUCAACUCCUAAUAGUAACAAGGGCUGUUCCUGAGGUGCAGAAUUACCAAAUAACGCUGCAACCCACACUUUGUCUUGACAACCCAAGUUUAAAGCAAAGCUGCUGCUAGUAGUCUCAUGUCCCACCCCUAGGCUUCCUCUUCAUUCAAGGGGUAGAUAUGCCAGUUCCCUUUCCCAAGCCUCGCCCCUCUCAGCCCCACAAGUUGUGGUGUUUACAAAUUCUGCCUCAUUUGCAAAGGAAAUUGCCAGGAGAGGAAGGGGGCAAUAAGGCACCUGCAACACGUGGAGCCGUGGCAGUGGGGUUUCCGAGAGUCAUAAAGUGGGGGGGGGGGCACUCCGUGUCCUUAUGUCCCUCCAGCCCUCUGCCCUUGCGGUUUUCACUGCCUGGCACAAUGCACAAGUUUACCCCCCCCCCCCCAACUGGAUCCUAUUAAAUAAUUCAAUGGUAGCGGUGCAAUUUUGGUUGGAACCAGCACGGAUUCCCAAGUCGUGACUGCAAAAAGUGAGUAAUGCGCGCUGGCUGCGUCAUGGCUCUAGUCACACUUCAUUCCGAACUGAGAAGGAAUCGUGACUUCGCCUGGAGACGUCCCCUACAUGGAGUUGGGGGGGUGCAAACCAGGGGUGAACGGGGGUGGGGGGAAGACCUAUCCAAUGAAAACCUCUGCCAGGGGGUGUUGCAUUUGAACUCCACUGCGCGCAGUGCUGCUGUCCCCUCUCUGCCCGUUGCACACCCGCCCCUCUCCGGGCCAGCGCUCUCUGCCGCGCUGGCUUGCCUCUCCGGCUCCCCAACGAGUCCUCAACAAGUUGGAGGGAGGCAGGAGCGCACGGGUUAAACUCGGGAAGCUGCAAUUAUCAAGAUCGUGACCCUCCCACACAGUACAGUAACUUAUAUACUUACCUGGAAGAGCCCGCUUUGCCGCUGGGCAAACACCCAUGGGGGUUGGGGAGGGGCAGGAGGGGAGCGGGCUGGCCAGAGAGGGCUGCUUCCAGACCGCUGCAGAGCACACCGAACCAAUGCACUCCCAAGACCCCCGGACUCAGGUGGUCAAGCCCGUCCUGAUACUGAAUGGUACAGUGAGGAGUGGCCACCCAAGGGAGGCAGUCUCGGAGGUCACAGGAGCUGAUAAGCCUGGAUGAAAGAUCACAGGAGUUCCAGGAUUGCUGGUCCAUCCCUGCUAAGAAUGCCGAUCAUAAAGAUAGGCUGAGGCGUUGAUGUAGAGACCUCAAGACUCUCCCCUCUGUCGCACUGGCCGCUUGGAAACUUCCUGACCCGGCCCAGUUGUUCACUGACUUUCAGGAAGGCACCUCUGGAAGGUUGUGAAGUCUACUUGUUAAAAAAGAACCGUGUGCUUACGUUUGACCAGGAUGAAGGGAGCUGGACAUUAUGCUGAGUCACACUUUCAAGCAGCUACCUGACAAACAGGCCAAUCCCACUGAGCAGGGGUGGGGUGGGGGGGGAGGGGAAGGGGUGGCUCAUCCUUCACUCUGAAGUCAGCAAACGUGGUCCCAGCUGGAAGACAGCAGGCUUCUCAACAUAUCUAUAAUUCACUUGCCGUCUCUCUGAAUAUUACACACCAAACAUGAUACUCAUUCUUCACAAUGAUCCCAUGGAGUGAACCUUGCCAAGCCCGUAUCACAGAUGAAGACACUGAGACUGCCAAAGCCUUUGAUACUCCUUCAAGGACCCACAGUUAGAAAGUAGAAGAGAUUCAGAUUCUCCUCAGACUCAUUUUAGUUCUUCAGUCUGAAGUGCAGCUAAUAAUAGCAUCAUAAUUGGCACAUGGGUGGGCACUCUGGUGGUCGAAGGAGACGUUAUUUGUAAGGUGCCAACGUCAUAUACAGCUGCCCAGUGUUCUAGUUGUUACAAUGAAGAAUGGGACAAACAAAAACAAAAACAAAAAUGAAACCCAGGGCAAGAUAGGAGAAAAGGACUCUGAGACGCCUGUGAACCAGAGCUGAUCAGAUCUAGUAAAGCAACUUACAACUUCCUAAUGUAUUUUCUUGACCAUGAGCCGUGGAAUAUUAGAAAUACUGUGCUCAAAUUUUAUAGGCUUAUAUUUAAAACAAACAGAGGAAAAAAAAAAAAAAACAGUAAGAGGCCUUUGAGUGCCAUAGACCUGUCUUAGAAGUUGCAUCCAAUUCCAGGGUUAGAGGCACAAAGCUAAAAUUUCCUUUCCUGGACUGGUAGCCAAGUGAAGUGAGCCCCUUAAAUUGCUGUGAAAUAGCCUGCUCUCAGCAAGGUUCUCUUGCCACUGGGACUUGUUCGCAAUUCUCCUGUGUCAGAGGGGAGUCUGGA